rnacentral:rRNA from 1 species
GACGUAGGAGGCGAGCGUUGUCCGGAUUCAUUGGGCGUAAAGAGCACGCAGGCGGUUUGGCAAGUCGGACGUGAAAAUCCGGGGCUCAACCCCGGACCUGCAUCCGAAACUGCCCGACUAGAGGUAGGUAGGGGAGAUCGGAAUUCCUGGUGUAGCGGUGAAAUGCGCAGAUAUCAGGAGGAACACCGGUGGCGAAGGCGGGUCUCUGGGCCGAUAUUGACGCUGAGGAGCGAAAGCGUGGGGAGCGAACAGG